AUUGAACGCUGGCGGCAGGCCUAACACAUGCAAGUCGAACGAGUGGCGGACGGGUGAGUAAUGUCUUGGAAACUGCCCGAUGGAGGUGGAUCACUACUGGAAACGGUCGCUAAUACCGCAUACCAUCGGAUGUGCCCAGAUGGGAUUAGCUAGUAGGGGGGGUAACGGCUCACAUAGGCGACGAUCCCUAGCUGGACUGAGAGGAUGACCAGCCACACGGGAACUGAGACAAGGUCCAGACUCCUACGGGAGGCAGCAGUGGGGAAUAGUGCACAAUGGGCGCAAGCCUGAUGCAGCAAUGCCGCGUGUAUGAAGAAGGCGUUCGGGUUGUAAAGUACUUUCAGCGAGGAGGCGUUACUCGCAGAAGAAGCACCGGCUAACUCCGUGCCAGCAGCCGCGGUAAUUC
rnacentral:rRNA from 1 species